UCGUUUUUGUCAUGGUGCCUCUGUCAGUCUCCUCCCCCUCCCCUCUCCGCUUGGCUGCGGAUCCUUCUCAGCUGCGACCACUCACCUCAUCACCAUGCCGGCCUACUUAAGGAGCUCCAGGACCUUCAUUCCCCGCCAGUCCGUUGCCCCUGAUGGAAUUCCUCACCACGAGUGGUCGUCAGUCUCAGCUUCAUCCUGGAUCCCCAGUUUGGUCUUCGCCUGCGGUCACACCACGAGCCUCUGCCUCGGACCUCAACCCACGCUCUUCCUCCCAUCUCUCCAUUAAAUCUUUUUACCUGC